rnacentral:rRNA from 1 species
CCUACGGGUGGCAGCAGUAGGGAAUAUUGCUCAAUGGGGGAAACCCUGAAGCAGCAACGCCGCGUGGAGGAUGAAGGUUUUCGGAUUGUAAACUCCUUUUGUUAGAGAAGAUAAUGACGGUAUCUAGCGAAUAAGCACCGGCUAACUCCGUGCCAGCAGCCGCGGUCAUACGGAGGGUGCAAGCGUUACUCGGAAUCACUGGGCGGAAAGAGCUCGUAGGCGGGAUAGCAAGUCAGAUGUGAAAUCAUAUGGCUUAACCAUAGAAAUGCAUUUGAAACUGUUAUUCUAGAGUAUGGGAGAGGUAGGUGGAAAUCUUGGUGUAGGGGUAAAAUCCGUAGAGAUCAAGAGGAAUACUCAUUGCGAAGGCGACCUGCGAGAACAUAACUGACGGUGGUGCGCGAAAGCGUGGGGAGGAAACAGGAUUAGAUACCCUUGUAGUC